rnacentral:rRNA from 1 species
UAAAUUUGGUUGCAGUUAAAAGCUCGUAGUUGGAUUUCGGGUGGGUUUUAGCGGUCCGCCUAUGGUGAGUACUGCUAUGGCCUUCCUUACUGUCGGGGACCUGCUUCUGGGCUUCAUUGUCCGGGACAGGGAUUCGGCAUGGUUACUUUGAGUAAAUUAGAGUGUUCAAAGCAGGCUUACGCCGUGAAUACUUUAGCAUGGAAUAACAUAAUAGGACUCUGCCCUAUUUUGUUGGCCUGUAGGAGUGGAGUAAUGAUUAAGAGGAACAGUCGGGGGCAUUCGUAUUUCAUUGUCAGAGGUGAAAUUCUUGGAUUUAUGAAAGACGAACUACUGCGAAAGCAUUUGCCAAGGAUGUUUUCAUUAAUCAAGAACGAAAGUUGGGGGCUCGAAGACGAUUAGAUACCGUCGUAGUCUCAACCAUAAACGAUGCCGACUAGGGAUUGGCGGACGUUUUUGCAUGACUCCGUCAGCACCUUGAGAGAAAUCAAAGUUUUUGGUUCCGGGAAAAUUUAGGGGAUAAACAA